ACAUGCCGGCAAACAGUAGACGUGAUCAAAUUGUAAAAGUCCCACAGAAGGCAGCGAUCAAUCAGAAACCACUUACUGAGCUUCAUGUUUGCAGCACUUGAAGACCCCUUUUUUACUUAUCUAAAGCCAAGCUUUGCCUUUACAGGGCUUACUUGGACAGGAAGCUAUCAUAGCCCUCCCAGGGCAAGUGAGAUGAGGAACCUGAGGUUCAAAGAGCUUUAAGGAAUCGCCCAAAGUCACACACUAAGUGACCACACCAAGGCCUACCUUUUCCACUAAUCCAAGCUGAAAAACCCAACCCGGCCAGACAACGCCCGUUCGCCUGCUCUUCAACUUGGAAAGGAUUAUUUUGCAAGGAAGGGUGUGUGUGGAAGCUAGUCAAAGUCUCAGCUUCCAUCCUGGUCCAGAGAGCCCUACCUCGGGGAAG